ACUUUCAUGUUAGUUUAAUAUUGAAUUGACAAUUUGAAUUGAAAUGUUUACUCGUUUAAAUAUAAAUUUUUCUUUCUAAAAUUUAAAUAUUAUAAAUAUAAAGUUUAAACUCAAGUUAAAUUUUAAAUUCGAAUUUAUGAAGAUUUAUCACUUAUGAAAUUAGCCAUUAUCUAAGUUGGUAAGUAACAAAAUUAAAUUAGGAAAUGAAGAUUUGUUGGAUAUUAUCAAAUUUGGUAAUUAGCUAAUGCAUAGUUUCAAAUAUUAUCUUUAUGAUUGAUUGGUAAUCUGUUGAGCAGGUUAUCAUUGUGUAAAAGUCAAUCUUAACCUCAAAAAUUGAAUGGUCGGAUUUAAAUUGGUCGGUGUAUAGAAGUAUUUCUCAAUUAUAUAUUUUCCCCAGAAAAAUGCACUUACAUGCCGAACAUCUUCU
rnacentral:lncRNA from 1 species